UACGAAGGGUGCAAGCGUUACUCGGAAUUACUGGGCGUAAAGCGUGCGUAGGUGGUGAGUUAAGUCUGUCGUGAAAGCCCCGGGCUCAACCUGGGAACUGCAUUGGAUACUGGCGAUCUGGAGUGCGGUAGAGGGUGGCGGAAUUCCCGGUGUAGCAGUGAAAUGCGUAGAUAUCGGAAGGAACAUCAGUGGCGAAAGCGACUUCCUGGACCAGUACCGACGUUCAGGCACGAAAGCGUGGGGAGCAAACAGG
rnacentral:rRNA from 1 species